AUGACAAGCCUUCCGCCUGGCGCACAGGGCCCAAGAUGGGAAAUGAGAAGUGCUGCUGAGGGCGUGGGCUCUUUAAAUCCCCCCUGGAGGGCUGUUUUUGGCUCACCUGGGCCCUGGGUUUUCCAUGGUGAGCUGGGAGGCUCUGUAACCUCUGCUCCUGCCCUUGAGGGCUUUGACCCCAUUCAGGCCACGCAGAGGGAAGGGGGCAGCACACAAGACGAGGUGGGGGCCGACCUCCCGCCUGCCAGCCCUGAAGUCCCUGCCCUCCCCAGGUCCCAGGGCGACAGCAGUAACAGUGGAAGGUCUCACUUUAGGACCCACCUCUUGGCGUCUCUGCGCAGAACGUCAAGAUGGUGCAACCUUGAAGAUGCUUACAGGAUGGGCUGGCCUGGAAAGGCCUCUGCAGUUGGCAUAGCUACAGUCUGGAACAUCAGUGACAUUCAGGCAGACUUCCUGGAGGAGGCUAGGAUGGAGAAGGUUCUAGGAAUGCGGGCUCUGGACCUUCCGAGACGUUUGUUUGCUCCAGGUCCUUACAGGUGUGUGAUGUAGCCUCCUCCAGGCUGCCCGGCAGGAUCCCUCAGAGCUGCCCUCUGCAGAGCCAGCGCCCCUCCCCCUCCCCCACCCACCCCACCUCCACCCCACCUCUCUUCCAUCCCCCCCAAGUCACCACUUCCCCAUCCCAUUGCCCCCACCACCUCCCACUUGUUUCUCCUGGGAGCACUUUCUUAAGAGUCAUCAGCGUCUGCUUCUGGGGGUAACCCAAUACUUCUGGGCAACC
rnacentral:lncRNA from 1 species